UACGAGGGGGGCGAGCGUUGUUCGGAAUUAUUGGGCGUAAAGAGCUUGUAGGCGGUUUGUCGCGUCUGCUGUGAAAAUCCGGGGCUCAACCCCGGACUUGCAGUGGGUACGGGCAGACUAGAGUGUGGUAGGGGAGACUGGAAUUCCUGGUGUAGCGGUGAAAUGCGCAGAUAUCAGGAGGAACACCGAUGGCGAAGGCAGGUCUCUGGGCCACUACUGACGCUGAGAAGCGAAAGCAUGGGGAGCGAACAGG
rnacentral:rRNA from 1 species